rnacentral:rRNA from 1 species
CAGCCGCCGCGGUAAUACGAGGGGGGCUAGCGUUGUUCGGAAUUACUGGGCGUAAAGCGCACGUAGGCGGAUAUUUAAGUCAGGGGUGAAAUCCCAGAGCUCAACUCUGGAACUGCCUUUGAUACUGGGUAUCUUGAGUAUGGAAGAGGUGAGUGGAAUUCCGAGUGUAGAGGUGAAAUUCGUAGAUAUUCGGAGGAACACCAGUGGCGAAGGCGGCUCACUGGUCCAUUACUGACGCUGAGGUGCGAAAGCGUGGGGAGCAAACAGGAUUAGAUACCCGGGUAGUCCCUGUCUCUUAUAC